UGCUCCACGCGGGCCUUGGCCAGGCACAGAUAAGCCUGCAGGUGAGGCCGGGUCACCGUCAGUCGCAGCAGGCACAGCGCCACCAGCACCCAGAGUCGCAACGAGUCGAAGGCCGAGUCCGACAGCCUGUGAGGAGAAGGACUCACGCCCAGUCCCAGCCCUGCAUCUUCAGAAGUGGCUCCAAGUUCUGAGUCAGACUGGCCAGGCCUGGGGAAGACAAGGAAAGGGCGCGGCCUGGUGGAUCCCUGGGGUCUCAGCGCCCACUCUGUGCCCCUCCCAGAUGUCCUUUGCUCCCCAGUUGAUACAACAGGUAAAUGUCAAAUCACUGCGGCUGCUGAGUAGCGGACAGACUGGAGGGUGUGCCCGCAUGGAGAGCUGCAGCCACAGGUGACCAUCAGAGAUGGCCCAGCUCCAGGGUCUCCUCCCGCACCACCUGAACCAGCAUGGCCAGGAGCAGGAAGAGGAAGGCGAAGGUGAGGCAGACAGAGCGCUCGCCCCCGUCCUCCGCGCUGAAGUACAACCAGGUCACCGUCAGGAACACCUUGCUGGGUGUGGGGCUAAGGAGGUCUUGAACACCUGUAGCACCCCCGCACCCUCUGCCACCUCCUCCCAGCAGCCUCCCAGCCCCAGAGCACAAGCAUUGGUGUCUGGGUUUGGAGACUCAGGGAGCAGAGGAGUGAUCAAGGAGAGUGAGCCGUUCAUCAAGGCCAGGAUGCAAGGCCCAGGACUGCCCGCUCCUGCGGCAGCAGCAUGCAGUGUGCUGGUGGCAGGACACCUGGGCCAGGCCUCCAGCUUCGCCUCAUCACCCCACCUGUGACCAGUUAGAGAUGGCCACCAAGUCUGUCUUUUCAGGAGGUCCCACCACUCCGACCCACCUAGGCCCCGCCAGCUGCAUCCCCCAGCAUGCAGUUUUCCUGUUCUUCUGAGAAGCUAUCAGAUACACGAGGACUGCAUCUGUGAUCUGUCCUCAGAGAGACCCUUGGGGCUUUCAGGAACCAGUGUGAACUUCAAGAUGGGCUUCCCUUUCUGACAAGCCUAUUCCACAAGGACACUGUUUCCAGCUUUUGGUUCUGAGAGUCAUAGGUUUGCCUUGGCCCUCCAUGCAGCUGAAUAAAAAUAUUGCAGAGAGAGCUCUCUUUGCAUACCCUUGU